AUGAAGGUGUGGGGAAUGCAUGACAGAGGUUAUGGCCCAGCCUCUUAUUUUCCUGCUGCUGAAUUGUUUUUGGAAGAAAUGUUCCUCCAUAGAAUUGUACCACUACCUUGGCUUGCACUGAUCUCUGCAGAACUGUUUAAGCUGCUGGAUGAAGAAAGAGUCCCUUGUCUUGAGAUUAUUUCUUGUGUUUGGAUUUUGUGGUUCUCCAAUGUGUGCCAAAAGGAAGAAGAAAUGAGAAAUGAAGUGUUGCUCNCAUACUCACUUUCAGCUUGGCUCUUCGACAACAGGGGCAGUUCAAUGGUCNUUGUGUAUUAUGGUCAGAGAGCAGCUGAAAAGUUCUUAGAAAAAUAAGGAGACCACUGNACCCAUAAAUGCCACGCUGUAUGAGUGUGAAAGCUAUAGGUCCAUGAGCAUCACUUAAACCAAAUACCCAUUUCCAUUCAGAACAGCCAUUUCAUUACCAAAAUGCAGUGACAAGUGUUCCAACGGACUGUGUAAAAAUUAUGCANUGAGAGACUGCCUGAAUCCAGUUGGUGAUUGAUUUCCAGGCUUCCAGUAUGAGCCCACAGUUUCAACGCUAAUAAGGAUGCAAGAUAUCCAGCAUGCGGUGUUUCCUUCUAUGUAAACUUGCUUAGGAUCAUCCUAUACAUUUUAUAGCUUUCUCUGAACACAAAUUAUCUCCCUUUAUUUACCCCAAUAAAUUAAAUAAAGAACAGUAAAGAAACUUCUG
rnacentral:lncRNA from 1 species